GCCUGGCUAUCUCAGUCGGGACACAAUUAGACUAUUAAUCUCAGAGUCGUGGGUUCGAGCCCCACGUUGGGCG